GACGCGUCUAGUGUGUUGGUGUUAGUGUUUGUGUGCUUGUCACCUCUCGCUUUCAGCCAUCACCACUGGCUAGCAGCAAUGUGAAAAGGGAAGGAAUUUUUAUGUCUUCCCCUGCCAGUACAUAGCCUCUCCACAACAAGUCCUAUGCGAUGCCUCCACGUGGAAGCAGACGGAUACUGGGUAGCUAUUGGUCCCAGGCUAAGUUCGCAAGGGCGCACGGGAAGAUUAGUCUCCGAAGUUUUUGCAAGCACCUUAUCUAGGAGAGAAAAAUGAUCACAAUCCCGAUUUAAUAUAAGACUUGAUUGAUUUCAGUGGUAACUGGUAAUAGGAAUGAACCUUUGUCCAUUGUCUGUCUUUGUCAUUUUUGUGAAAACUCACACUUUCAUCUUCAUUGGGCCAAAAUCAACCAAAGUUGGCAGAGUAUCCUUGGAUCAACUGGAGCAGGAAAGGUGACCCUUGUGUGGAAUUAUCCUCAGCGGAAGAAAGUUGAGGCUGACCAGGAUCCUGAAGUGAGGAGGAGUCCCUCUCCCAUUAAACUGCAUUCAUGAGCAGAAAGUAUGAAUUACAAUGGGGGACCAGGGUCAAUCAAUAUAAGAAGAGUCCAUGUCCUGGCUGUGUUUUUAGGCAACAUUUUCAAAAGUGCAGAGGAAGGUUAAGACUGACAAGGAAUUCUAAGGAUGGAGUCCCUCUCUCAUUCCACUGCGGUAAUGAGGAGAAAGCACGGACUUUGACAAGGGAAGAAUGGGGGGGGGGGGGGGACCAGGGCUGACCAAGAGAAGAAGUGUCCAUUGCCAAGCUUUGUCCAGCAGCCAAUAUCUGAUUAAGAAGAGGAUUUACUUCUGUUGCAGAACAGCAAGACCAUGUUAGCUGCAAUAACACUGAAGCAUUCCAAGGUUGUAUGCUGGUAUUGGCCCCAUUUCCAAGAAUGAGCAGGUUAUCAUGAUUCAGCAAGAGUCCAAAGAGAUCAACUGGGGCUGACCUGAAAAUAAAGGUAGACUGGCAUCCAUAGAUUGUUUCUUUAACAGCAGGCAAAUAAAUGAAAUAAGCUUCAACAAUAGUGCAACAAUAGUGUGGAGAGUAAGGUUUGAACUGAAGCCUGAUGUAGUCUGAAUGAAGAAACAAAAAUGUCAGAACUCAGAGGAACUUUUUAUAUUCUUUUCUUCAAACUGGACACAAUAGAUAGCUAAACUGUCAGAGUUCAAUAGACUGUGCAGAUGAAUUCAUUGUUAUCAUAGAGUGAUGGACACAUUACAUAGCUAAAUACGAAGAAUCAAAUGGACAAUGCUGAUGAGUUCAUUGUUAUUAACAAAGUGAGUCAAUGCAUUAGAUAGUUGGAGAAUGAAAUGGACAGUGCUCAGUGUACAUUAUUGUUAACAAAGUGAUGGACACAUUAAAUAGAUAAACUCACAAAAGUCAUUGUUCAAUGACAAUGUUUAAUUCAUUGUUAUUAACAAAGUCAUGGACACACUAAGCAGCUCAAUGCAAGGAAUCUAA